rnacentral:rRNA from 1 species
UAGUCAUAUGCUUGUCUCAAAGAUUAAGCCAUGCAGUCUAGUAUAGCAUUAUACCGUGAACUGCGAAUGGCUCAUUAAAUCAGUUAUCGUUUAUUUGAUAGUACCUUACUACUUGGAUAACCGUGGUAAUUCUAGAGCUAAUACAUGCUAAAAACCCCGACUUCGGAAGGGGUGUAUUUAUUAGAUAAAAAGCCAAUGCCCUCCGGGGCUCUUUGGUGAUUCAUAGUAACUUAACGGAUCGCAUGGCCUUGCGCCGGCGACGGUUCAUUCAAAUUUCUGCCCUAUCAACUUUCGAUGGUAAGGUAUUGGCUUACCAUGGUUUCAACGGGUAACGGGGAAUGGGGCGGGGGCGGCGGGCCGGGCGCGGGGCGCGGCGGGC